rnacentral:ncRNA from 1 species
CUUUGGACCCACCUGAGGUCUAAGGCGGAAGGAG